GCAGUCGUGGCUGAGUGGUUAGGCGAACACAUCUAUAAUGUGAUACAUGGGUUCGAAUCCCACCGACCGCC